rnacentral:lncRNA from 1 species
CGCAGACUGCAAUGCGCAGCGUUUUUGUUUUGGUCCGUUCUCCCUCGUUUCAAGUCGGAUUUUAGAUCCGUUUUCGCCUACGAACUCGUAUCGAGACGAACUUUGAUUCUUCUUCAGACCAUUCAACUAAAUCCUGACUUUAUUUUUGUCCACAUAUCAAUCAAUUUGAGCACAAAAUCCUGAGACAACAAAAUUAGCACAA